AGAUGAUAUUUGUACGAAUUGGAGCUCAAGUUUGGGGAUUUCUUCAUUUCCAAUUUCAGCUAGGUGGUGGCGAAGAAAUUGGAAACGUUUAUCAGCCAAUCUAGCUUGUAGCUCAUACCUUGUGACCGUCGAUUUUGAGAUACUGGGAAAACUCUGCUGAAGCGAAAGAGACCGUUUCAUAGUAUUUAAUGUAUAGUUGGGGGACUCAUGUUUAUUAAGUACUUUGUCUAAUAUUUGGGGCGUCAUGCACUUUGUAGAAGGGUUUGUAAUUGAUGUAAUGCUUGCAUGUAGACAUGAUGUCGUUGUAAAAGCACUCAGUCGAAAUUUGUUAUAUUUUAUUUUA